GUAUCAAGAUAUGGCCUCGGAUAUAAUACGGGUCGUAAGAAAAUAGUCCAUCAUGGCCGACCAAGAAGAUGUUCAAACAACCAAGAGAUAUGUUAGUCCAAAGACAGGAUGAGGAGCGAACUUUUACCACUUAUUUGUGUAGAAGAGUAUGGUACCAGGGGUGCAGCUGACUCUUGAUUCCCAGCUUGUUCUAAUGAAAAAAAGGCAGAUGAGGCAUUGGAAUCCGAAUGUACUCAAAAAUGCCAUUGUAUGAGGAUUGACCUGCAAUGCAUGGAAAUCAUCUAACACAACUGCAACGCCUACCAUGGAAAAAUGAGUGCAAGAUGGAAACAAAGCGUUCAGUGGAACAUCUUGUCAUCUCAAACAUUUGAUGACUUACAUACUGAUGUGAAGUUGAAGAUAAAAGCCAUCUGUUGGUCCGUGAUUAUUAAAUAAAUCCGAACAUAUAUUUUAAAAGGGUAAUAUGGUAAAGGAUUUAUCUACGCUUAAACUGUUUUCCUAUAUUAUGGAGGGAAGAUAACUACAAAAACAGAAACAGAUGGCAUCGGCAGACCAAAUA